AACGAACGCUGGCGGCAUGCCUAACACAUGCAAGUCGAACGAGACCUUCGGGUCUAGUGGCGCACGGGUGCUUAACGCGUGGGAACCUGCCCUUAGGUUCGGAAUCACUCCCCGAAAGGGGAGCUAAUACCGGAUAAUGUCUUCGGACCAAAGAUUUAUCGCCUUUGGAUGGGCCCGCGUUGGAUUAGCUCGUUGGUAGGGUAAAAGCCUACCAAGGCGACGAUCCAGAGCUGGUCUGAGAGGAUGAUCAUCCACACUGGGACUGAGACACGGCCCAGACUCGUACGGGAGGCAGCAGUGGGGAAUAUUGGACGAUGGGCGAAAGCCUGAUCCAGCAAUGCCGCGUGAGUGAGGAAGGCCUUAGGGUUGUAAAGCUCUUUUACCCGGGAUGAUAAUGACAGUAACGGGAGAAUAAGCUCCGGCUAACUCCGUG
rnacentral:rRNA from 1 species